UCAAAUUUCAUGGGUUUAACAUCUACCUUUUCAUCAUUCACACAAUUCAAUCAAAUUUCAUGGGUUUAAUAUCUACAUUUUCAUCAUUCACACCAUUCAAUCAAAUUUCACGGGUUUAACAUCAACAUUUUCAUCAUUCACACAAUUCAAUCAAAUUCCAUGGCUUUAACAACAACAAUUUCAUCAUUCACACAAUUCAAUCAAAUUUCAUGGGUUUAACAUCAACAUUUUCAUCAUUCAUACAAUUCAAUCAAAUUUCAUGGCUUUAACGACAACACUUUCAUCAUUCACAUAAUUCAAUCAAAUUUCAUGUGUUUAACAACGGCAUUUUCAUCAUUCACACAAUUCAAUCAAAUUUCAUGGGUUUAAUAUCUACAUUUUCAUCAUUCACACCAUUCAAUCAAAUUUCACGGGUUUAACAUCAACAUUUUCAUCAUUCACACAAUUCAAUCAAAUUUCAUGGCUUUAACAACAACAAUUUCAUUAUUCACACAAUUCAAUCAAAUUUCAUAGGUUUAACAUCAACAUUUUCAUCAUUCACACAAUUCAAUCCAAUUUCCUGGGUUUAACAAUAGCAUUUUCAUCAUUCACACAAUUCAAUCAAAUUUCAUAGGUUUAACAUCUACCUUUUCAUCAUUCACACAAUUCAAUCAAAUUUCAUGGCUUUAACAACAAAAUUUUCAUCAUUCACACAAUGCAAUCAAAUUUCAUAGGUUUAACAUCUACCUUUUCAUCAUUCACACCAUUCAAUCAAAUUUCAUGGCUUUAACAACAACAUUUUCAUCAUUCACACAAUGCAAUCAAAUUUCAUGGCUUUAACAUCUACCUUUUCAUCAUUCACGCCAUUCAAUCAAAUCUCACGGGUUUAUGAUCAACAUUUUCAUCAUUCACACAAUUCAAUCAAAUUUCUUGGCAUUAACAACUACAUUUUCAUCAUUCACACAAUUCAAUCAAAUUUCAUAGGUUUAACAACAACAUUUUUAUCAUUUACAUAAUUCAAUCAAAUUUCAUGGGUU